CCGCUGCCGACCCACCGGGGUCGGCGCUCUGCGCCCGCGAGCAGGGGAAGCCGGUCCGAAGCCGGCGCUGACCCGCAACCGUAGGUCGGGACCCGUCCCGACGAGCCGGAACACCUGCCGUGGGACGAGAGGCUCC
rnacentral:ncRNA from 2 species